AACGAACGCUGGCGGCAUGCUUAACACAUGCAAGUCGAACGAUGCCUCCGGGCAUUGUGGCGCACGGGUGCGUAACGCGUGGGAAUCUGCCCUUGGGUUCGGAAUCAUUCGCUGAAGGGCGAGUUAAUACCGGUUGGUGAAGUAAGUCCAAAGAUUUCUCGCCCAAGGAUGGGGCCGCGUAGGAUUCGCUGGUUGGUGGGGUAAAGGCACGUCAAGGCGUCGAUGCUUAGCUGGUCGGAGCGUAUGAUUAGCCACGCUGGAACUGCGACACGGCCCAGACCGGGACGGAAGGCAGCAGUAGAGAAUAUAAUACAAUGAACGAAAACCUAGUCCAGCAAUGCCGCGGAUGAGAUGAAGGCGGUAGUAUUGUAAAUCUCUUUGACACGAGAUGAUAAUGACAGUACCGGGAGAAGAAGCUCCGGCUAACUACGUG
rnacentral:rRNA from 1 species